rnacentral:lncRNA from 1 species
GGGAACUUCACCUUGAGAUUUGGACUUAGUAAAACUAAGGUCAUUGACAAUGAAAUUAUUGAACAGUUAAACCUUCACAUUGAGACAAAGUACUAGACCUUUGGGUUGCUAGUGACUGUUACCAUGUUAGAGACAUGAUGAUUGGGUACUUGAGAUAAUGAUUAUGCUUGCUUGCCAUUUGUGCUCAUUCGCACAUGCUUGUACGGGUCGCUCUCUACAAGCCGGCACUCCGGAGUUAGCCUACGUGACUUAUGUUCGCUCGUGCGGUAUCAAGUAGCCUACGGGGCUUGGAGGGUUAGACUCAUUCAUAGAGUGGGAAUGCUGGAGCUACCACUGGCACUUAGGUGGCACAAGCCAGACCUCACCUGUGUAGGUCCUAAAUUAGAUUGAACCUGAAUAUUAAUUAAUAGGUUGAUAAACACUACUAGACAGGUUAUGGUAGUUGGAUUCCUUGACAUGCUAUGGCAUAGGGUUGGGCAUUGAGUUAUAUAGUAUACUUGACGGUAUCGUUUAUUGCAUUGUAGUAUACUUGGUUGCCACAAUACUACAUACUAGAUAUGUAGUUGGCUUUGGGACAUUUAUCAUACUUCAUAGUAUUACUGGUUGCAUCAUAGCAUACUUGUUUAAGUAUUGGCAUACUGGAUCAUGUAGAGUAGAUGUACUCCAUGUUGACAUUCUAUAUACUUGUGGCAUAGUAGAGUAGCAUUAUAUUAUUAUGCUUUAUUUAUCGCAGUUAAUUUAUGUUAUCCUUAUCUGCUCUCUUUUGGGCCUAGUGAUGCAGUUGGUGCAGGUCAGUAAUUGCCCACUGGAAACUAUAAAUUAUAGUUCUCAUGCCCCCUGUCUUAUGUUUUCUUUCAGAGCCUUCCCCUUCGGGAGGGGCUCGGGAUCGCGGGAAAGGUUUCGCCUUGAGCUAGCUAGCGAGGGAUUUGGCGAUAGGUGGUCCACCUCUCUUUUGUUUUUCUUCGGAAAGGUUGUGAGAGUUUUGUACCUUAUUAUAGAGACCACCCUACUGUUGUAUCUUGAGACUUGUGAUGUAUUAGUUUUAUUAUAUUCUUGUGGUUUAGUCUCUUUUUCUUUCCUUUUUAUUUCCGCUUGUUGACAGAACUUAGCUGCAAACUUGCUCUGAUAUCGUUAGUUAUUGUUUAUUUUAUCUUUCAUAUCACUUUGUUGUAGACGCCUUAUAUGUGCAGGCAUAUGGCGGGUCUGGACACGCACCGGGUAGGGCCUAUGCCGGGUCUUGGGGCGUGACAGAUUUAUUUGGUAUCAGAGUCUAGGGUUGAGUCUUAGUGGAUCUAGCGAACCUUAGGCCGGUUGGACUAUAGGGAUUAGGCUCGUGAGAGACGAUGUCUAUUUGACUUGUAAGCGAAAGUACCAUGAUUGGGUCUACUUGAUAACUCUAAAAUGUUGGAGUUGAAUCAAAGUGUAUGGCUUCUAACUUCGCGGAGGGUUACGUUGGCGGCCGACAACGUAACAUUGGGAGUUAGUAGUUGGGACACUUCUUUACUUUCGGUUGAUUUGGGGUACUGUUAUUUGAGCGGGGUUACGAUAGCGUGGGUUAUAUUAACUUGCGCUUUUAUGAUGUUGUAGUGUUGAUGCCGACUACACGCUCUAAGUUUGUUAGAGCGGACGAUGCGGCGACUUUUGAGGAAGCGGAGACAUCAGCUACCUCCGGAUCCGGUGAGGUCCGUGAGUUGAGGAGCCAACUUGCCGCCCUCACUGAUUUGGUGACGCAGUAAGCGGCGGCGGCGGCUCGGCAGCAGGCGGAUACGGCAUGCCGGCAGGAGGCACGGAUGCAGCGCCUGGAGGAUCUUCUACUACAGCAGGCAGCUGCCAGGGAGACUCAGGUCGCGGUACUACCCGCGCCAGUGGAGACAGUUGCGCCCGGGGGGUCGUCCCCUGUACUCGACACUUCGCAGACGACACUUACGGUAGCCCCUCGGGAGGAGGUAUUGGCAGCACCACCAGCUCAGGUGCCUGUGGCAGCGGCGACUUUUCCCUUGAUGGUUGAAAGAGCGGAGCGGCAGCGGCUCAUGGAUCGCCUCGAUGAGUUCAGGAGGUGCGAUCCCCGGAUAUUUGAUGGAGAGAAAGCCGACCACUGGAUCGUUGAGAAGUGGUUGAUGCACAUGGAGAAGUUAUUCCUCGGCACCUUCGUGGAGGAAGGAGAUAGAGUUUGUUCGCCACUCACAAUUUGGACGGCGAGGCCUAUAGUUGGUGGGUGGGCAUCCAGGAUAAUCCCAACACCGACCUAGCAGCGAUUUCUUGGAAGAGGUUCAAGGAGCUCUUAUUGGAGCAUUACUUCCUCGUCCGCGUUAAGAGGAAAAUGGAGCAGGAUCUACGCGAGAUGCGCCAGGGGGAAUCGGACUGUGGCCGAGUACGAGAGGGAGUUCUCUCAGCUUCUACACUAUGCGCCCUUUGUUGUGCGGGACGACGAGGAUAAGGCUUGCAUCUUCGAGCGAGGAAUUCGGCCGUCGAUCUUACGGUUGGUGCAACCCUCCCGCCUUCAGACUUACCAAGAUGUGGUGAACCGCGCGCUCAUCGUGGAAAGCUGCGCGAUAGACUUGCAGGAGCGUCGAGAAGGCUCGGACAAAGGAAAAGGCACGAGGCUCGCGGCUGAGGGUGUGAGUCAGACGCACUCCGGGAGCCCGCCAAGACAUCCCAGGAACCGGAGUCAGUCGCGAGGACGUGGCUCAUCAGCACGGCCUAGAGGAUCCGAGCGUCGUCAGACUCUAAGCUGCGUGAUCUGCGGUGGUCGUCAUUACCCGCGGCAGUGCUCACAGAGGCAGGGCAGGUACUACUCGUAUAGCUAGGAGGGCCACUUCCAGUCAGACUGUUCGAGAGCUUCAGUAUCAACGCCAUCUUCAGCUUCGGCACUAGUAUCACCGGGUCCCAGCCAGGGGACGCCUUUUGCUCACUAUCAGGCCGAGAGGCCACCUGACCGGAGACAGACGGAGGGGUCACAACGGGCCCCUAGCAGGUGCAUGUACGCGGCCCUGACAGAGGAGGCAGCAGCGGCCGAGUUUGUGACUACAGGUAUCAGUUUCGUUUGUGGCAUUCGAGUUGUGCAUUGUUGGUUACUGGAGCAUUGCAUCUAUGAUCGGCUAUUCGCCGAGUUGCAUGGCAUUUCGUUAGUUCGCUGUUUGCGACAUUGUGUAGCCCCUCGAGCUAGGCGAUUGAUUUGCGGGUUGCGGGUAGCAUGUUUCGCUAUGCUUGUAGAUCUCACGAGGAUUGCAUUAGUUGUAUCCCACCGGAUAGUGCUUGGAGACGACCGUGCCUGGACCAUUUGGGGACUGUGGAGCCUGGGCCCGCUGGGCAGGCGCAGUCGGCUGUGUGUGACAGCGGCCCGGUACCUGCGGGUAGGGCAGAGUUUUGGUCAGGAUGGUAGUCCGAGCGUAGACCCUGGAGCGUGGAAAGUCACGUGUUGGAUCGUGAGAUCGAGGACACACUGAGUGUGUAGUUACCCAACCCAAGGAUUUGUUAGCGUUGAGCUUUUCGGCGCGUGUUGAAUGAUCGGUUGAUCGGGUGUGUCGUUUCGAGCACCCUACAGUGUGAGAUGGUUUUGGUGUGCAAACAAAUAGAUUGGCCUUCCUUGGUGUGGAGUUGUUGUGGGUACCUGUUACCCUUGGAGUGCGAGCUGACUUGACUCGCCUUGAGGACUUUGAGCACGAAAUAGUACGAUUUGAGGAUUUAGUUCCGCUGAUUGUGCCAGAUGUCUCCCUUACCUAAAAAUUGGGUAAGUGUUGGAGUGGUUUGGGGCCUGAGUGGCCAUUAGCUUUGGGUGAUCGAGAAUCCUUGAAAUAAACGAUGUCCUUGAUCGGUCGUUGUGUCCCCGAUCGAGUCACAAAUUGUUAGCUCGAUUGACGAGGAGGUUUUAUAGUUGGAGUUUUGCUUUGUGGAGGAGCACUCUCACUUGUUGGGACCGGUUGGGCCGUUUCGACUGUAUGUUGACUCUCGUGAUUCAAAUUGAACCACGAUUGGAGGUUUGGACCGUGCUGAGGCUUAUUGACCUUGUCAAAUGGCCUUGAGUUGCUGGUGUACUCGACAAGAUUGUGAGCAAUCUGAGUAGUACUGUUGAUGUUGGAGGUUGAGGUCGUACCUCAAAUGGAUUGUGAUGCUAGGUGGGGACAUCACGAGGAUGAUGCUGCCUAAGCCUAUAGUACUCUACCUGUGGAAGGGUUUGCGGAAUGAUAAUUCCGAGCCCUCUGGGUGGAUCUGUAGAACCGUUGCGGAUGACUUGGGUAUUUGAUAGGAUGUGCGAGGUUGGACUGCGUAGGCAGGUUUGAAGUGAUUGAGUUGUGGAACUCUCACUGAUGGAUGGAAAACUUGUGAGAGGGAAGGUACCAAGUUGCUAAUUCCUCGUGUCAGGAGCGUGUACAAGGCUUUGAGAUCUUCGGGAUGGAACUGUAUAUGAGGACUUAUGGAAUUAACUUUGGCUUGACAGUCGCAUCAGGAUGACUUUGAUAGAGAGCUGUUACUAAACGGUGGAUUGAUCCAUCUCUAUCGUGAGAAUUGAGUUUGGGGACCAUGGACACCUGGAGCAUCCAAUGCUAGGGAAAGCAUUGAGAUCCGAAAUUUCUAAGUGAUUGUGUUGUGAGCCUUCUGUCGAAGCUUGGCCCUUGGCCUAGGCUUGCGAGAGUUUACUUGGACUUGAGUUGGGACUAAGAUGAUGAUCUUAGUAGACUGAUGAAGCCUUUGAGCUUAGUCCUCGACCAUAUAUUGCAGUGGAAUUGAGGGUACUCCCGAGUGGUGAAUUUGAGAUUGAUGUGGAGACAUCGCAGCGCCGUGCCGUUUGAGGAAUCAAGUAAACGCCAGAAUGAGCGAGUAGGAACGAUUAAUCGUUUCUGUUAAUAUUGGAAGAAUGGCUAUCUUGAAUGUUGAAUCGGAACCGUUCGUGCCAAGCAAGAUUGGACAGAGUGAUGGACGUUGCAAAUAGCAAUGGGAUUGAAAGGUUACACCAUAACUAACCUUGGAUUGGAUUACACUCAGUUAUGUUAUCUCAAGAAGAGACUUGAUCUUAGAUCUGAAGGAUCAUCGUUGGAAUAAGAGCCGACGAGUGGACUGUGCAUCACCAUCCCUUGGUGAGUGUUGAUCGGGUGAGCACUCCGAUGGAGUUGUGGUAGUUGGGUGGCAGAUGUACCCCCCCCUCCCCUGAUGCUUGCUUUGGACAGUACCCAUGAGUCAAGGCACCGCCUUGGAAGGGUAUUCGAUGGAACUUCUAGUGCAAGAGCGAUUGAUAUAAGCUAGGUUUUACCCUCGACUUGGACGAGGAAGGUGAAAACUGGAAUUCAGCUUUUGGGAGCACUAGCAUUCGUGAGGGCUGACUGAAGGACUUAUUGAUCAAGCGCGGAUUAGGGAUGGACCUUGCUGCGAAGGCUGGAGUCCGAGGAACUUCAGAGAGAGUUUGAUUUGAGUUAUGCCAAGUCUUGGCAUCGCGGGGUCUGGUUGUUUUUGCCGUGGAGCUUUCCGGCAUGUUUGAGACCUUCGUGGUCUAGCUUGUACGCUGUUAGAGCGUUCCUCUAUCCUCUUUGGAUGAGCCUGUGUUGUGGUUGAUCCGCAGUUUCGCGGACGAAACUCCUUUUUAGGAGGGGUGAAUGUAACACACUGGACCUUUGCAAAUUGCGAGGUUCGAGUGUUUGGACAAUGUCCUGACCUUUUCCAGACUUUCUGGUGGGUCGUUGACUGUGUUCCGACCUAUGGUUCGUAUCCCGAGAUUUGCGGUUUAAAGCCUUGUACCAAAACCCGAAAAAACGGAAUUUGGCCAACUCUCGGGUAGCUAUCUGGAGGUCUUGUACCGGUACAAGUUGGUGGUUGUACUGGAACAAGGUUGAUGGUUGUACCGGUACAGCCAACGAGCUUGUACCGGUACAGAGCCGCUGAAAACCCCCCAACCCGAGCCUCGUGUUGAGAUUUUUCGCGGGGCUUGUACCUGUACAAGGGCCCGUGUACCGGUACAAGGGGUCAUUUUUCGUGCAGUCUGGACUGCAGGGGUGUUUUUGCUAUUGUAGCAUUUCUACAAAUAACCCCACGCCUCCCCUCUUGUUCCCUAAGCUUGGAGGCAGUGGAGAGAAGGUAUGGGAGCCUCUAUUCUCUCUCUUUGAUUUCCUUUGGUUUAUUUGAAAUUUUUGAGGUUUAAUCCUCUCUUUUUGCUCCUCUUUGCUUUUUGGUGCUAUUUCCACCAUGGGAGGAGCUUAGAGCUUGGACUUGAGAGUUGUUGGGAGGAAGAUCAUCACUCCUAAAGGGGUUUGAUCCUUGUUUGAGAGCUUCUAGGAGGUAAGCAACACCUUCUUCUCCCUAGAGUUGGAUUUUUAUGCUUUCUNCCUUUGCAAAUUGCGAGGUUCGAGUGUUCGGACAGUGUCCUGAGCUUUUCCAGACUUUCUGGUGGGUCGUUGACUGUGUUUUGACCUAUGGUUCCUAUCCCGAGAUUUGCGGUUUAAAGCCUUGCACCAAAAUCCGAAAAAAGGGGAUUUGGCCAACCUCGGGUAGCUAUCUGGAGGUCUUGUACCGGUACAAGUUGGUGGUUGUACCGGAACAAGGUUGAUGGUUGUACCGGUACAGCCAUCGGGCUUGUACCGGUACAGAGCCUCUGAACCCCCCCCCCCCAAACCCGAGCCUCGGAUUGAGAUUUUUCGCGGGGCUUGUACCCGUACAAGGGCCCGUGUACCGGUACAAGGGGGCAUUUUUCGUGCAAUCUGGACUGCAGGGGUGUUUUUGCUAUUGUAGCAUUUCUACAAAUAACCCCACGCCUCCCCUCUUGUUCCCUGAGCUUGGAGGCAGUGGAGAGAAGGUAUGGGAGCCCUCUAUUCUCUCUCUUUGAUUUCUUUUGGUUUAUUUGAAAUUUUUGAGGUUUAAUCCUCUCUUUUUGCUCCUCUUUGCUUUUUGGUGCUAUUUCCACCAUGGGAGGAGCUUAGAGCUUGGACUUGAGGGUUGUUGGGAGGAAGAUCAUCGCUCCUAAAGGGGUUUGAUCCUUGUUUGAGAGCUUCUAGGAGGUAAGCAACACCUUCUUCUCCCUAGAGUUGGAUUUUUAUGCUUUCUACUAGAUGGAACCCUAGAAUGAGAACUUAGGGUUUAUUUUGGGCGUUUCGAAUCUAGAGCUUUUGGAGCAAGAUUCUUUGCUUUAGAACCUUCCUUGGGCUUGGAUUGGAAGGAUUUUAGCUCUCCUUUGGAGCUUAGGAGAGGAUUUUACUCUUGAGGUGAGUUUUGGCCCUUUUGCUUUAUGGUUAAUGAUUGAGCUAAUUGCUCUUCGUUUCAUUUGGGUGACCCUAUUUUUGAUGUUUCUAGGGUACUAGGAAGCUAGUGGAUACCUCCGUUCGGCGAAACGAAGGUUUCGAUUUUGGUGGGUUUGGCCUCACCUAGAUGAGAUAAACUUCUCACAUGAUGGUUUUUAUUUAUCGUUAAGUGAAAAUGCAUGCAUAUUCUUACUAGAUAGAAUAUUUGAGAAUUUUAGAAUGCUUAAAAUGCACAUGUUACAUACAAUGCAUAUUUGAUCUCUAUAUAGUAGAGAGUUUUCAUGUUGGGCUAGGGGCCUAUGGUUAGUAUUCUUACAUUUGAUUGAGAUCAUGUUGCAUAUGGUGCAUAUGGCAUAUAGAUUACACUAUUGGACUUAGAACGUAUGUUUGACAUGGUUGGACAUAUCGACAUUAAGUGACAUAGGCUAGAGUGUAUACAAAUAGUAAGCUAAUGUCAUAAAGCGGCAUUAGGCUUGGACUAGAUAUGGACUCAGCAAGCUAAUGUCAUAAAGCGGCAUUAGACUUGAUGGAUAUGUAAAUUGCAUGUGCAUGUUAUUAUUAUGAGAAUUAUGCCAAGUUGAUAGUUGCAUUGGAAAGAACAUACAUGUAGCAAUACGAGAGCACGCUAGAGAGCAUGUGCAUUAAUCUAUGAUUGAUAGAACACGCUAACGUCAUAAAGAGACAUCGAAUGUGAAAUGUGCUUAGAUUAUAGCAAUAUUUAAGUGUCAUAAAGAGGCACUAAACAUAGUGAAUGUGGGAACUUCACCUUGAGAUUUGGACUUAGUAAAGCUAGGGUCAUUGACAACGAAAUUAUUGAACGGUUAACCCUUCACAUUGAGAGAAAGUACUAAACCUUUGGGUUGCUAGUGACUGUUACCAUGUUAGAGACAUGAUGAUUGGGUACUUGAGAUGAUGAUCAUGCUUGCUUGCCAUUUGUGCUCAUUCGCACAUGUUUGUACGGGUCGCUCUCUACAAGCCGGCACUCCGGAGUUAGCCUACGCGACUUAUGUUCGCUCGUGCGGU